rnacentral:rRNA from 1 species
UACCCGCAGCACAAGUGGUGGUCAUUAUUAUUGGGCCUAAAGCGUCCGUAGCUGGCUUGUUAGAUGCCUGGGUAAAUCGAUGCGCUCAACGCAUCGAACUCCGGGUAGACCGGCAAGCUUGGGACCGGGAGAGGCGUGAGCUACUCGAGGGGUAGGGGUAAAAUCCUGUAAUCCUUCGGGGAGGACCAGUGGCGAAGGCGUCACGCUAGAACGGCUCCGACAGUGAGGGACGAAGCCCUGGGGCGCAAACAGG